GCAGCAGGGAAUUGGUGUGGUCCAGUAGCAUCUGUCAUCUGGUAUAAUGCUGUAACAAAAUUCCUGAACAGGAUGGGAAAGUGGUUCAGCUGAGCCUUGAGAGGUGAACAUACCUUGGCACCUGUCCCCUGGAUGGGACAACUUGAGGAAGGACCAUCAAUAUUCCCGUUCUCUACUCAGGACACUGCUAAUGUGUAUAUGAGGAGAGAGUGGAAUGAAGUCAACCUCUGCUUUAUUCUCACAUUCUAUGAGUCUGGACAUCAUGAACGAGGAUGUUGGGAGGUGAGAGCUGGCCUGGCUGGAGCAUUCUGCCAUAGACGGGAUUCGAGAAACAGCAUUCCUGGGACUUGUUUGCUGACUAGUAACUAAAAAAGACCAGGAGUCUCUUUGAUAAGUGGUGGGUGCUGUCCUUGGGUGCAUUCAGGGAGAGGAGCUUGCAGAGAGGUUGUUUAUAUGGGAAGCAUGAAGGACAGCCACUACACCCUGUUGUCAGCUGCUCUGCUAGAUGUGGUGGCCUACACAGCUGAUGCAGCAGGCUAUGGGCUCAUACAAAUGCUGAUUAUUUCUGUCUCUAAAUUGGUGUCAAACACUAUUCC
rnacentral:lncRNA from 1 species